rnacentral:rRNA from 1 species
AGGAAUAUUGGUCAAUGGACGAGAGUCUGAACCAGCCAAGUAGCGUGCAGGAAGACGGCCCUAUGGGUUGUAAACUGCUUUUAUAAGGGAAUAAAGUGAGUCUCGUGAGACUUUUUGCAUGUACCUUAUGAAUAAGGACCGGCUAAUUCCGUGCCAGCAGCCGCGGUAAUACGGAAGGUCCGGGCGUUAUCCGGAUUUAUUGGGUUUAAAGGGAGCGUAGGCCGGAGAUUAAGCGUGUUGUGAAAUGUAGAUGCUCAACAUCUGAACUGCAGCGCGAACUGGUUUCCUUGAGUACGCACAAAGUGGGCGGAAUUCGUGGUGUAGCGGUGAAAUGCUUAGAUAUCACGAAGAACUCCGAUUGCGAAGGCAGCUCACUGGAGCGCAACUGACGCUGAAGCUCGAAAGUGCGGGUAUCGAACAGGAUUAGAUACCCUGGUAGUCCGCACGGUAAACGAUGGAUGCCCGCUGUUGGUCUGAAUAGGUCAGCGGCCAAGCGAAAGCAUUAAGCAUCCCACCUGGGGAGUACGCCGGCAACGGUGAAACUCAAAGGAAUUGACGGGGGCCCGCACAAGCGGAGGAACAUGUGGUUUAAUUCGAUGAUACGCGAGGAACCUUACCCGGGCUUGAAUUGCAGAGGAAGGAUUUGGAGACAAUGACGCCCUUCGGGGCCUCUGUGAAGGUGCUGCAUGGUUGUCGUCAGCUCGUGCCGUGAGGUGUCGGCUUAAGUGCCAUAACGAGCGCAACCCCUCUCCUUAGUUGCCAUCAGGUCAAGCUGGGCACUCUGGGGACACUGCCACCGUAAGGUGUGAGGAAGGUGGGGAUGACGUCAAAUCAGCACGGCCCUUACGUCCGGGGCUACACACGUGUUACAAUGGCAGGUACAGAGAGACGGUCCCUUGCAAAACGGAUCAAAUCCUUAAAGCCUGUCUCAGUUCGGACUGGGGUCUGCAACCCGACCCCACGAAGCUGGAUUCGCUAGUAAUCGCGCAUCAGCCAUGGCGCGGUGAAUACGUUCCCG